GCGUCCUUGGUGUAGCAGUUACACGCAUCCUAUUUGUUCUCCAACCACCUGUAGCCUUUAGGAUGAGUCCGGGGUUCGACUCCCCGAGGACGCA